rnacentral:lncRNA from 1 species
GUGAUCAGGGAGCCUAAGUAUGUGAAUUUGUCCACCACUUCAGUUAUCAACAGAGAACCGAAGCAACGGUCGCCAAUUCGGUAUUAAAGACGCAGCAAAUAAUAUUCUAGGGCCAGAGAAACCACCAUCACGCCAGGUAAAAUAACUUCAUUAUUUUAUAUGCGAGAAUUCACGGAUAUGAGGAGUAGGAUACUAUGCUCUAGGCCAGGAUACCAUGCGAUGGUCUC